UCCCUUCAUCUCAGAGCCUAUCGAUAUGAGGGAACCAUCUCAUUUCAUGUCAAAGAACGACAUCCUAUCCAGUCACCCGGCGAAGAAAACGACAAAGAGUCGCCUGAGAAGAGGAUGAGCUUCUUCGAGAUAUAUCUUCUUCAUCAACAAGUCUUGGCCCAAGAACAUAUGCGCUUUGGAACAAGGCCUCUCAGGUUUUCUUUUUUGAAAACCCAUUUUUUCAAUUUUUAUUUAUUUUAAAGCUAAGUUCCAAAUAUUUUCACAAAUAUAUAUAUUACCAUACACAAUAUUUUUAAAUUUAAAUUUAAAAUUUUAUUAUUUUCACAAAUAAAAAUAAAAACCACACAAAAUGUUUUAAGUUUACAAAUUUUAAAUUUUACUAAAAUUAUUAUUAUUAUAUUAAAUAAUAUAUUUUCAUGUUGGAAAAAUACAUGGUGCAAAAACUUCCGUUUGUUGAAAACAAACCAAGCUAUUUGCAUCCGAUCCGUAUGGUCUCCAUAUGGUUCGUAAGUGGUGUGGAUGUUUAACAUGUUUUUUCGUAUUGUGAAUGAGUUUUAAUAUGUCGAAAACAAACCAAGCUGAAGCAUCCGGUCCUUAUUGGUCUUCCUUAUGGUCCGUCAGUGAUGUAGAUGUUUAACAAAAUAUCAGCAUCCAGUCCUUUAUAUAAGGUCUUCCGUAUGGUCAGUUGGCGGUGUAGAUGUUUAACAUGUUUUCUUCGUAUUGUGAAUGAAUUUCAAUAUGUUAAAAAAUAGACCAAGUGUUUGCACCUCGUCUUUUCUAAAAUGAAAAUAUAUUGUUUAGUUAAUGAUAAUAAUUUUAAUAAAAUCUAAAAUUUGUGUAAUCUUAAAACAUUUUGUAUUGUUUAUAUUUUUAUUUGGGAAAUUAAUUAAAAUUUAAUUUUAAAUAUAAAAAUAUUUUGUAUGGUAAUUGCUUAUUUGCGAAAAUAUAUAGAAUUUAGCUUUAAAAUCCAAAAAAAAUACAUUGAAUUAAACUAUCAAAGAGAUAACCUUUUCUUGUGUGUGUGGUGUGUUUUGUUGAUUUGAUUUCACUCACAACCGGCUGGGAGAUUGUGAAAAAUGAAGUAUGAGGAGUACAUGCAAGAACAGAAGGAGAAGAAGAAUCUACCUGGUGUUGGCUUCAGGAAACUCAAGAAGAUUCUGAAGAAGUGCAGAAGAAGAGAUCAUGUUCCUUCUCAGAUUGCUUUAAACGAAGCAAUCACUCAUCAACGUGGCAACAACUGUCCUCGUGAAUGCAAAGGUUGCUGUUCCCCUGUUAGGUCCCUUUCUUCUUCUUCUUCUGGUUUUGAGAAUGUUUUAAUCUUUUUUGGCAUGCAGUUUGUGAUGGAAUCUUUAUUGGCAUGCAGUUAACGAGAAUGCUCAGAAGCUUCUUGAGUUACAUUUAGCUUCUAGUUUCAAAAAAUGUCUUACUUGGUUCAAAGGCAAAACGAGCCAUCAUCUUGGUUUAAUCCAAGAAGGCCUAGACUUGGUCAACUACGCACUUCAAAAGGCUGUGGGUUCGAGCUGAUCUUGCUCGAAAUGGUAUCUUCGACUAUGAAAAACUUAAGAAAACUUGGAACAUGAGGAUGGUGGAUCAGUCUGAAAAGUGCAAAGAAAGUGUGAUGGAGAGUAAGAAAGAAGAAGAAGCGAUUGGAUUGAAACUGAAGAAAGCGGUUUUGUUUCCGCAAGAAACAGAGAAAGGAUUGUGGCCGGCUCUUGUAUAAUUUAAAAGGAGCAACGAGAUAUUUUCACCAUAAAGCUUACAAGCCUCUGUAAAGUUUGUAUAGUUCUUGAGAUAAAUCAUUCUAAACUUUGGUAAUAGCAUCACUCUGUUUUGUGAAACUAAAAUAAUAAUAUGCUUUUUGAUUAAA